CUAGUGCAAGCUUUUAAAGCUACCUCUGGCCUCAGACUGAACACAAGUAACCACAUCAAAGUUACUGCUCGUGUUUGAAUGCUAACCAUUUUGGUAACAGGUUCAAAGCAAUUAUGUGCCUGCAAGGUGGUGUAGUGUUUAGUGUUAUAGCCUCACAGCAAGAAGACUACUCAUUUAAACUUCAGCUGGAUCAUUCUUGUGAGGAGUUUGCAUGCCCUCAUGAACCAUGAUGUUUUCCAGGUGCAUCCGGCUGGCCCUGCACGCAGAGGUGGUUACACCUCCACAGAGGAGUCUGAAGCUGAGAUGAAGAUGAGGAGGAGGAGAAAAAAAUAUUGCAGCGAUCAUUCUGCUGAAGGAUUACAAAGUACAGAGGAUUCAAGCUGACUGGUCUCGUCUUUAAUUCCACAUCUUGUUGUUGACUGUUGAUGGACAUGCAGCCUUUAAAUGACUGGAUCUGCCGGAUUAUCACCUGGGUGACACCUGGGAAGAUUGUUCCCAUGGAUUUUAAAGAUUAGUUCCUGGUUUAAAGUGAAGGGAGUGAUACCUGAAGUUUCCUUCUGCAGAGACCGGUUGCUGCACAUGUUGAAGAUCCUUUUGAGUGAGCAGAUUUUAGAACACACAAACCAGAGAUGGAGAAGUUUUUGAAGGGACGUCAGAGCGAAGCAGCCUUGCAGACAAGCGGUGUGCUAUCAGUGCCCCCUGCAGUAAAACCAAAGGGAAUAAAGAGACGAGUGAGCCACACGGACACCAUCGAGAAAAGAUAGGAAGAGGAAAAGCGGGAGAGCAAGAGGAUCGUUUUCAUUAUCUCCAACACACAGAGGAACUUAAUCAUGCUUAUAUGAGAGAAAGGUCUUAUAGCCAAAGACUGGAUCCUGUGCACUGAGUAACUGUAAUGUACAAACCAUGCUGCGGUCUCAGGACAUUUGCAUUACUUACAAAAACACACAAACUGAGGACAUUCUGAUGCGUUAUUUUAACAGGAAAUGUUCUCUUUAUGGGGCGAAUCAAAAACUAGGGUUAACUUUCUGUAACUUGAAUGUUACACAAAUUAGAAUUUGAAGAAGAAUUUGAUCGAUAGAUUAUGAAUUAGUGAAGAAAAAGCAUACACAGUCAGUUAUUAUACUUUUUAAUUUUCACUUAGUUUGAGGUUCCAUUAUGAAGGGUGUUAAGAGUGUAUAAAGCUGUAUUU